rnacentral:piRNA from 1 species
UAACCAGAAUAAAUUCUCUUUCUGCCUU